CUUCUCUCUCCUCUCUCUUUUUCCCCCAACCCCACGUGACCGACUCCUUCUCUCUCUCUUUUCUUCUUCCCCUUCGUGCGAAACCAGAAAGGAGAAGCUUGAGCGGAAGUUGCAGGCGCACGGAGACCGCAGCUCGCCGAAGCCGCCGUCCGCGCGCCCGCCGCUCGCCGCCGUGCGUUCAGCCGCCCGUCUCCUUCGCGCCUCGCCAUCCCCGCCGUGCACCGUCCAGGCCGUUCGGCCUCUGUUCAGCUCAGUUCAGCCCCCGUCCGGCCACCUCCGGCCGUCGUUUGAAGCCGCCGGACCUCCACCGACCCUCCUCGGAGCACCGCCCGCUCUCCCGAACCCUUCUCCGCCCCUAACCAUCUCUGUUUUCCCCUGUUUUGCAGCCAACCAGCAACCCACGAAAUGGGUUUCCAGCUGGUUUGGGCCCGUUUUGAGCCAUUUCCCGGCCCCGGAUCCUCGAGUCGCUUUGGGAAGAAUCGUUCCUCGCGUCGCCGCCGUCGGAUUGAUCCGAUUUGCGCGCGAUUUGGAUAUCCCAAUGAGCACGAUAAAACAGACCAUUCAAGCCAUCUGGACCGGGAGCUUUUGUGUCCCCUAGUUGGAAUACUGUAGUAUGGACCUCCUCACAGAUUUGAGAUCUCAUCAGUAUUUGAAUGGAGAUGAGGCUGAUUGGUGAGAGACUGAAGCUGGUUCUUAAGGCUGAGAAGAAGUCCAUGAUUCAGCAAUAAUGGAACGACAGUCGGUAUCCUGGAGCCAAAAAGCUUCAAAGUAGAAGGAUUUUUUCCGUUUACAAUUUGGAAGAGCUUCCGUUGACAAGAGGAGAGGGCUGUGAUCAGAGCCGAGGGCUGGGAGGGCAAGUACUUCGGCAAG